AGGGGUGCAAGGACAACAAUUAAAGAUGUCGGAGGUUUGACUGCUUUGGAAAGAAGAAUCUAACUUGGAGCAAUUAAUAACUGAUGAAGAAUUGUUCAUAUUAUUUGUGAGGUGAUGUUGCAAGAACAACACAAGGCUGUAGGAAGCGGCUUUUUGUACCUGAUAGCUUUGUAUACCACCUAUCUUAACUUCUUCUGGAAUGAAUUCAAUUUCUACACGUGAAUACAAAUGCCUUUAACCUAACUAUGAUAUAACUUAUCUGACCUUUGCCCUUUACGGUGUUGUAAAUUGUACUCUUCCACAUGACGACAUCGCUGGUUUGUAUAACAAUUAUAGGUUAAUAUAUACAGCAUUCAUUUAUUUGGAUAUGAUCAUUGAGAAGAGUUUCUGCUGUCAAGAAUGUAAUAACACGUGCGAACCAUGCAUGCAUGUCAUUAUCGUGCAAUUUUGUAUUCAUUUAUUUGUGACUUUGCAAGUGUAUUGCAUCUGGUCGAACUCUCGAAAAAACCCUUAAUCUGAUCCCUUGUCAGUU